AGAACGAACGCUGGCGGCAGGCCUCAAACAUGCAAGUCUAGGGGGUGUAGCAAUACAUCACCGGCGGACGGGUGCGUAACGCGUGGGAAUGUACCUAUUGGUUCGGAACAACUGAGGGAAACUUCAGCUAAUACCGGAUGAGCCCGAAAGGGGAAAGAUUUCUCGCCAAUAGAUCAGCCCGCGUCCGAUUAGCUAGUUGGUGGGGUUAAAGCCUACCAAGGCGACGAUCGGUAGCUGUUCUGAGAGGAAGAUCAGCCACACUGGGACUGAGACACGGCCCAGACUCCUACGGGAGGCAGCAGUAGGGAAUCUUGCGCAAUGGGCGAAAGCCUGACGCAGCCAUGCCGCGUGAAUGAUGAAGGUCUUAGGAUUGUAAAAUUCUUUCAGCGGGGACGAUAAUGACGGUACCGCAGAGAAGCCCGGCUAACUUCGUGCCAGCAGCCGC
rnacentral:rRNA from 1 species